AUGAGUAGCCGCCGCCGCCGCCGCCACGCCGGCUCGCCGGCGUCCGCGCCGCUGGACGACGACGACCUCCUCUGCGAGAUCCUGCUCCGCCUUCCCCCGGAGCCCUCCUCCCUCCCGCGCGCAUCCCUCGUCUGCAAGCGCUGGCGCCGCCUCGUCUCCUACCCCGGCUUCUUCCGCCGCUUCCGCCUCCACCACCGCCGCAACCCUUCCCUCCUCGGCUUCUUCGACAGGUUUAAUGGCCUCUCCUUCCUACCCACUCUGGGGGCCCCCAAUCGCGUCCCCCACGGGCGCUUCUCUUUCCACUGCGAUGACUUCGACAGCUGCUCUAUGUCCCUUGGAUGUCGCCAUGGCCUCAUGCUCAUCUUCCUUCGUAAGCGUCUCCAGGUCCUGGUGUGGGACCCCGUCACCGGCGACCAGCACCGCAUUGCCAUUCCCGCAGCGUUUGAUACGGAGAAAACCCUUAUCAACGGGGCGGUUCUUCGCGCUGCCGGAGAUGUCGAAAACUUCCAGGUGGUGUUGGUAGCUGCAGAUGGCGACGACGAACAACACAUACAGGCGCUCGCCUGUGUUUACUCGUCAAAGACCGGCUUAUGGGGAAAUCUUGUCUCAACACCGAUUCCAUACCAGGCUUCUGAUAGUCCAUACCGUAUCCCCACCAUGGUUAAUACAGAUGACGCUGUGCUAGCUGGAGAUUCCCUUUACUGGAAGCUUACUGGGAAUAUGGUUGGAAUUCUUGAGUUUGAUUUGGAAAAGCAGAGUCUAGCUGUGAUAAGGAUGCCACUGGAUAUGUAUGGCCAGGGCAAGUGCUUCACGGUUAUGCGGGCCGAGGGUGGUGGGCUGGGUCUCCUCGUUGUGUUGAACUCUGACUACACCGCCCAGUUAUGGAAGAGGAAGAUCGAUUGUGAUGGUGGUGCUUCAUGGGGGCUUGCACGAACUAUUGAACUGGACAAGCUACUUCCCAUAAAACCGGAGGAGAAAGGGCUUCUAGUGAUACUAGGGUUUGCUGAGCAGAAUAAUGUGGUGUUUCUGUGGACAGUUAUCGGUGUAUUGAUGAUCCAGCUUGAGUCAUUGGAGUUCAAGAAUCUUUAUAAAACCAUGAUCUUUUCUUACUACCAUCCAUUUGAAAGUGUCUACAGUGCAGGAACAUCUGUUUCUGGUGGACGCGACAGGGCUGAGCUUUUGGUCAAUAAAUAA
rnacentral:rRNA from 1 species